rnacentral:lncRNA from 1 species
CCUGAUAGCACGCUGCUCUAAGUCAAUUUCUAACAUGUGAUUUCUUGUUCUUUUCAAAGAAAGCUUCAGAGGAGACCCUAGAUUUCUCUGUGUUAAGGUGGGCUCAAUGAGCCUCCCAGACCAACAAGAUCAGGGCAUUCAGUGCCACUUACUGGCCAGAGAUGUUUCCAGAGAGGUGUUCUGAGAUGCUAACCUGAGACCUGAGAAGGACAAGCCCACACUCCACCACCACCUCCUGCCUACCCUGGUACACAAAUAUGUGACAACAUGAGUACAUCAGAGCCUGCACAGUGACCCCUGCUGUCAGUUACGGCAGUUCUGUAAUGAUGUACACAAUGCUGUUUAUCCCACAAGCUCAUGAAAUAGCACAGCCGCCUAGAAAACAGAGGAUGAUGAUUAUCACACUUGUCUCCAUUUUAUCAGUGGGGCUCCUGGUGGUCCCACAGCUUGCCGGGGAGCCGGGGGCCAGGAUCCAGGAGCUGCGACUCUCUGGACAUAUGGUCUUCCUCUAGCUGCAUGUUGCCUCCAUGGAAGGAAAGACUUGCUCAUGAAUUAUAAACACUCAGAAUUUUAUUCUCGGGCAUAAAAGCAGGAGGGAGUGAUGGAGAGGGAGGCUGCUCACUGAAACAGAAGAGAAAGCACAGAUUUUACUAUGAUGUUGGUGUAAAAGGAGCCACACUGGCUCCCCCAGAAUUGACAAGGGCUCUGAGUCGUGAAGCAGGGCUCCGGCAUCCUCGAGGGGAGAUGGAGGACAGUUACUGAAUGGGGGAAGAUCGCAUCAAUAUGUAGCAUGACCUACUGGGAAUCAAACAGGCCUGGGUGGGGACAUCUUGGGUUGAACCUCAGUUUCUGGGGAGCUCGCCAGUGACUUCCUGGUCUACUUAGUCCCUAGUUUAUGGGAACAGCACUAUCCAUCUUGUGGAGUGUGUUUAAAUUACACUUGUGGGACCCCUACCACCAGGUGCUGUAUGGAGCACCUCGAGUAUUUAAUGCUCACAGCAGCUCUGGGAGGUGACACUGUUUUAUAGACUCAUUACAGGAGACUCAGGCACAGACAGACCGACUCUCUACAGCUAGGAGAGGGGACUGGAGCUCAGGCCUGCUGGACUCCAGGGUUUCUGUCCCAUAUAAUGCUCUCCCUGCUAGGGUUGUCCUAAUCGUUACUUAAAGUCCAUUCUGCACCCCUGUAUACUGGGGGGGUACCCAUAUGCCCCUACUCAAAUCAGCAUCUAGAGAAGCAGUUUCUACUGAGUUCCAGAAACCAGCCGUUGCCCAAGAGGGAAGAAUAGGCUCCUGCUCUUGCAAAGGAAGAUGGUGAAAAUACUGGCUGGGCCACCACAGGGACAUCCUAACAGGGGUUUCUACACGAUGCCCAAUUGAGGCCUGGAAGGGUGGGGAGGAUGUGCCCACAAAAAGGCCCUGGGUGGGAUGGUUCAUGAACAUCUGUUCCUGAACAGAAAUCAGAGUUUCCUGCCAAUUUCUGCACUUCCAGCACAUGCUGCAGAGGUCAGACCCAGGCCAUGGAAAUGAAUAAGUCAUCUUCUCCAUAUGCUCCAUGUCCCUCGAUUUCACAGCCAGAGGCAACAGGAAACACAGGCAGAGGAUGUCCAGCGGGGGUGGGACUCACAUUCUAGGGGAGUUGUGUGUCCACAAGGGAGUGACACUGUGGAUCCCUGGUGCAGGUAGGGUGGUACACAUGCUCUGUCCCCUGCAUCUUCCUCUUGUCCCUACCUCUGCCAUCUGUUCUAGUCCAGCAGAAGCCUCACAGACUCACCUCUCCUCCUUCUUCACCACCACAGCCCAACUCAGGAUGGAUGUGGGUGAGGAAGAAGGGACAAGGAGGAGCUCUUGGCCCAGUGCCCUUCCCCGAAUGUCAGUUCGCUCAGGACAAGGAGCAGAGAACUUGUUACUACUGGCCUUUAGAAGCACAAAUUUCAUUUUUAGAGCUGAGAACAUCUAAUCCACCCCCAGCUCUGUUCUAUCUAAGGACACCUGCUCUCAGCUAGGAGGAAAGGGAAGAUGAAUAAAAAUAUAUAAAACGCCAACUCUGGGGCUGACCUCCUAGGUUCAAACCCAACUCCUCAGAAGGGAAAAAUUGCAAGCAGUCUAAAAAGUAUGACAACUGCAAAAUCAGAAAUUCCUUUUAAUCUCAUUUCAUGGGCAACACUGAUACACUGUAAGGCAUGAAAUUUUUAUUUCAUGUCAAUUUUAUUGGGAUUUCACAUGCAGAUUAAUUUGUUCAUCCACAUAAACACGUACUGCUCCCACUUCUAGCCUCAACACUCACCCUCACUCAGAGCUGCAGAAACCCCGUGUCCCAUAAAAGACACUUAAAGCAGUGCUGAGAUUGGCCAUUCCAUUACGAUGCCACAUUUUUAGCAUGUUAUUAAAUUCCAGUGUGUUUGGAAAGGAAUAAAUGGGUCCAAGCAGAGAGGCGAACUGCUUAGGACCUUGGCUGGGCACAGUGAUGGGCAGCUUCUAAAAACCUCACCUCCUUGUAGAAGCCCCUUGUCUUGAGUGUGGGCUGAACCUGUUGACUGGCUUCAAAAGAGCAGAAUAUGCUGAAACAGGGGGAUAUCACAAAAGACUGGCAUGCAUGCUUUGGUGAAGCAAGCUGCCAUGAUGGAGAGCCCCGUGUGGCAAGGACCUGAAUCAUGCCAAUAGCCACAGGAGUGAGCCUGGAAGACAGUCCUCCUGCAGUAGGCCCUGAGAUGACUACAAUCCCCGAGGAGCCCUUGAUAGCAGCCUGGGAGGGAGCCUGAACCAGAGGACUCACCUAAGCCAUGCCUGACCCCCAGAAACUGAGAUGAUAUUUUAAGCCAUUAUGUUUUGAAGUAAUGUGUUACACAGUCAUAGAUAAAAAAAGCCGGGACACCCUUAGCUAUGCAAGAAAAACAAGUUCAACAUGGUUACUCAUGUGCAAGGGUACAAGGCAAAUUUCUCUGUACCCGGAGGAAGAGCCAUGUGAUCGCAUUCCCAUCCUUCCCACUCCCCCAGGUUCCCCAUGGGACCAUUUGUUCACACUCUGCUGGCCUCCAUUACAAGAUGGUGCUAGGGAGGGAUGCCUUGGGGCUCCUACAUCCAGAGGGAAGCUACUAUUUGAGUGACUGUUUCUCACCCGGGAUGGUAUUUAACUAGUACCAUUCCACAUGCCUAGGGUAGAAGUUAGUUUGUUCCAUAGCCCGGAGUCAAAAGGGUGUCCUAGGUGUUAACACAGACAUUCCUCCUUUCUCUGAGCACAAGUCCAUUUUGCAGGGCACCUGGACUCAGGGCCAGCCUAUUCAGGUCAACACAUGCAUUCCCUUCACCUAACACCACUCUGUUCUUGGUGGAGUCUUUCUCAACUAACCUGGCUUCACAUCUGCUGUUCACUUUUUGCUCCUUGGAGGACCCUUCCUGGAUGUUUUGCUGUCUGCUUCUGAUAACAUCUGAUUCUUAAGAAAAGCUACACCUUGACACUUCUAGGGCACUUCCACUGUCUGAUUAAGUGCAGGCGGUCCAUCAGAAUGAUGAUCCCAAACAUGAUGAUCUGCAAGUCCUUUUUUUCUUGGCAAGGGAAGAAUGCCCAUGGGGUCUCUCCGGACACACUGAGAUGCUAACUAGAGAAGAGGAACACUAUGAUGAGGCCCUGUUGUCCAGACUCUCUUAAAGGCUCAGUCUUUUUAUUUUUGAACUACCAACAGCUAGAAGACUUCUGUCUGUGGCUCCAAGAAAACUACUGUGUUGUUGCAAUACUAGACUGGGGGCAGAGGUGGGGAGGGGACACACAUAGAUCCCCAAUUAAGUCAAGCUGAUGGCAGUAUCUCUGGGUGUCUACGCACACUUGGUGAUUAAAGUAGAAAAGAGUCGCUGGGAAACAAUAAAUACUCAAUACUGGAUUAUACUUUUUUUAUGAUUUGCAAAUGCUCAUGAACCUGUUAAAAAAGUUUGCGAGUUCUGUUAGCCCAUUCUUUACCAAGUUUCUGUUCCCAAACCUUACAUCCAUCCCUCCAUUCCUCCAUCUGUCCCCUUACACUCUUUCCUUUUUAUUAGCAUACGAUUCUUCAUAUAAAAUUGGCACUCAAAUACUUAUUGGAUAUAUGUUUAUCAAAAUGCCACACAGUCCAUGAAACAGAAAUUUGUGGGACAUCAGUUUAGAAAACACUGGCUCCAGCUUCCUUUUUUACAGACAGGGAGAUUGGGAGCAGUGAGCCCCCUAGUGGCAGGGCUAAGCUCGCCUGCUUCUUG